rnacentral:rRNA from 1 species
AGAGUUUGAUCCUGCUCAGGACGAACGCUGGCGGCGUGCUUAACACAUGCAAGUCGAACGAGGACACAUUGCGGAGGCUUCGGCCGGAAGGGAUGUAUUCGAGUGGCGGACGGGUGAGUAACGCGUGAGCAAUCGUCCCAGACAGGGGGAUAACACUUGGAAACAGGUGCUAAUACCGCAUGAGACCACGAUAUGCAUGGUAUUGAGGUAAAAGGUGCAAACCGGUUUGGGGUGAGCUCGCGUCCGAUUAGCCAUUGGCGGGGUAACGGCCCACCAAAGCGACGAUCGGUAGCCGGACUGAGAGGUUGAACGGCACAUUGGAACUGAGAGACGGUCCAAACUCCUACGGGAGGCAGCAGUGGGGAAUAUUGGGCAUGGGCGAAAGCCUGACCCAGCAACGCCGCGUGAGUGAAGAAGGCCUUCGGGUUGUAAAGUCUGUUAUAGGUGACGAAGGAAGUGACGGUAGCCUAUAAGGAAGCCCCGGCUAACUACGUCCAGCAGCCGCGGUAAUACGUAGGGGGCGAGCGUUGUCCGGAAUGACUGGGCGUAAAGGGGUGUAGGCGGCUCAUUAAGUCUGGAGUGAAAGUCCUGCAUUUAAUGUGGGAAUUGCUUUGAUACUGAGGAGCUUGAGUACAGGAGAGGUAAGUGGAAUUCCCAGUGUAGCGGUGAAAUGCUAGAGAUCGGGAGGAACACCAGUGGCGAAGGCGACUUACUGGACUGUAACUGACGCUGAGCGCGAAAGUGUGGGAGCAAACAGGAUUAGAUACCCUGGUUAGUCCACACUGUAAACGAUGAUGCUAGGUGUAGGGGGUAUCGACCCCUU